rnacentral:rRNA from 1 species
AUUGAACGCUGGCGGCAGGCCUAACACAUGCAAGUCGAGCGGAGCGGCGAACGGGUGAGUAACGCGUGAGUAACUGCCCCCCUCUCUGGGAUAACAGUUGGAAACGGCUGCUAAUACCGGAUAGUGGGGGAUGACUCGCGUCCUAUCGGAUUGUUGGUGGGGUAGUGGCCUACCAAGGCGACGACGGGUAGCCGGCCUGAGAGGGCGACCGGCCACAUUGGGCUGAGAUAGGUCCCCAACGCGUACGGGAGGCAGCAGUGGUGAAUAUUGCACAAGGGGGGAAACCCUGAGGCAGCAACGCCGCGUGCGGGAUGACGGCCUUCGGGGUGUAAACCGCUUUCAGCCAUGACGCGGUAGUGGCAGAAGAAGCACCGGCUAACUACGUGCCAGCAGCCGCGGUAAUAC